AUGUUCAUUUUGGCAGUACAUAUACUAAAAUUGGAAUGAUACAGAGAUUAGCAUGGCCCCCGUUCUAGGAUGAAGUAUGGAUUCAUGAAUCAUUUCAUAUUUUU
ensembl:snRNA U6 U6 spliceosomal RNA